GGUAAGAUCAUUGAUAUGCUCAUUCGACGUGAGGGGUGUCAUCAAGAAAUAUGACAGUCCCGAACAAAUUCUUGAAGAAUUCUUUCAUUUAAGACUUGAGUUCUAUGUAAAGAGAAAGAAAGUAAUGUUGGAUAAUCUUGAAAUAAAGCUGUUGAGAUUGUCUAACAAAGUCAGAUUCAUCAUUGGGGUGGUAGAAGGAGAGAUUAUUGUGAGUAACAGGAAGAGAGCAGAUCUGGUCCUCGAGUUGCAGUAGAAGGGUUUCACACCGUUUCCUAAAACCAAAGGCGUUGAUACCAGCGAGGCAAUGGAAACAGAAGAAAAUGAAGAGACACCGGAGGUGGGAAUAGUUGUAAGAGCAAGUGAUUAUG